CCUACGGGAGGCAGCAGUGGGGAAUAUUGCACAAUGGGGGAAACCCUGAUGCAGCGACGCCGCGUGAGUGAAGAAGUAAUUCGUUACGUAAAGCUCUAUCAGCAGGGAAGAAACACUGACCUUACGGUCAGCAGACGGUACCUGAGUAAGAAGCACCGGCUAACUACGUGCCAGCAGCCGCGGUAAUACGUAGGGGGCAAGCGUUAUCCGGAUUUACUGGGUGGAAAGGGGGCGUAGACGGUGCGCCAAGUCUGGAGUGAAAUGCCGCAGCUUAACUGCGGAACUGCUUUGGAAACUGGCGAACUAGAGUGCGGGAGGGGUAAGCGGAAUUCCUAGUGUAGCGGUGAAAUGCGUAGAUAUUAGGAGGAACACCGGUGGCGAAGGCGGCUUACUGGACCGUAACUGACGUUGAGGCUCGAAAGCGUGGGGAGCAAACAGGAUUAGAUACCCCGGUAGUC
rnacentral:rRNA from 1 species